UUCGAUGUAUCUUCAAUCUUCUAUGAUCGUAUCAGCUCCGGACACGAACUGGUUUCAGAGAUUCUGUCUGAAAGCCAAGCAUGCGGUUGAAUGUCUCAGACCAGUUUACCGGAUUUUUUCUUGGUCUAGUUAAAGAGAUGUGUUUUAGAAAGGGUGAUUCCGGUUUGUAAAUGUGUAAAUACUGUAUGAUAUAUAAUAUAGAUAAUCAAAUAAAAUUUCAAAGCCUUUUUUUCACAUCAAUCUAAAAUAUGAGAGAAACGAUCUAUAAACAUCAUUAUACCAUCGUAGAAUUAAGCAUCAUACAAUAAUUAACGUUUUUUAUUAGCUCGUUUGGAAGAAGACCACAACGUUUCUUUUCUCAGAUCUUCUGGAGCUUUUGUGUCCACAAACGGCUGCAAAAAAAAAGAGCAAAUUCGAAAAUAAUGUUACAACACCAGCAGGACCGAUAAUUCAUAUGUUAUUAAAUACUUAAAAUGUGGAGGCCAAGGUGGGAUGUCUCAUUCAACUAUACUCAGACCGGCCUUGAACACCAGUCUCAGCCUAAGCACAGUUUGUUUUGCUAUUGGGUUUCACCGAUGUUAAUUCCAGCUAGAAAAGUGUUUUGAUUAGUUCAUUAAUCCAUUAGCCUAAUGCUUUGAUUCGUGCUUUAGUGUCCCCUUCACAAUGAAUGCAGAUUGUGAAAAUAACUAGACAACAUUCAUGAAUCUUUCAUUCGAAACUAAGAAUCAGAAUGGAUGUUUAGAUCAAUUAACUGAAUCUCUAAUCUCUCAAUUAGUUAAAAUGUGUGAAGCUGAUUUGAUGUUGCAGAAGAAAGGUGGGGGGAGAUUAGAGAAUUACUUCGACUAGGAUAGAAUUUUGCCGGUGGAGUAGGCAUUUCUUGCGGCGGAUCUUCGGGAUUGAUUUAAGAUUUCUUCCGCCAUUGAUGGAAUUUCAGGUUUCUUUUCCACACAACUGCUGAUCACUUACCAUUCGUUUUUUCCUUUCUUCUAGACACC
rnacentral:lncRNA from 1 species